GGAACUAUGGUAUCAAGGAUAACUUUGCCAAGAAGAAACCUUGUCUCACACAUAUUUCCUUUCCCAAGAGAAAUGUAAUCUAUCCUGUAAACGUCCUUCCUAGUUUUGAGAGAUGUAACAUCUUUCACUAGAAUGUCAAACAUUAGCUCGACAGUCCUGCCCAUUUUGUUUGAUACAAAGACCAAACCAGAGCAUGGGGCUCCUGGGAACUUGGACAUUGCUUCCUGGAGGCUGUCCUUAUCAGUCAAAAUGUCUAAAGAAUUUUGCACUAGCACUGCCAGCUCUGUAACUCUUUCCACAAGCUCAUCAUCUGAUAUGGAGCCUUGGGAAUCUGAAAUUUCAGGUACAUAAAUAGAUGCAGCAUCAGAAUGUCUUCUAGCAAAUUU
rnacentral:misc_RNA from 1 species